GAAAUCCGAUAAGUAGUGUGAAUUGCAGAAUUCAGAGAAUCAUCGAAUCUUUGAACGCACAUUGCGCCCUUUGGUAUUCCUUAGGGCAUGCCUGUUCGAGCGUCAUCUAAACCUUCAAGCCCUGCUUGGUGUUGGGUGCCUGUCCCGCCUCCGCGCGCGGACUCACCUCAAAUCCAUUGGCGGCCCCCGCGUCGGCCACGAGCGCAGCAGAAACGCGAACUCGUGAGCCCGUCCGGGCGGCUCCCAGAAGCUACACCCACCCAGUUUGACCUCGGAUCAGGUAGGGAUACCCGCUGAACUUAAGC
rnacentral:misc_RNA from 1 species